rnacentral:rRNA from 1 species
UGGGGAAUUUUGGACAAUGGGCGCAGGCCUGAUCCAGCAAUGCCGCGUGCAGGAUGAAGGCCUUCGGGUUGUGAACUGUUUUUGUACGGAGCGAAAAGGUCUGCCCUAAUACGGUGGGCUCAUGACGGUACCGUAAGAAUAAGCACCGGCUAACUACGUGCCAGCAGCCGCGGUAAUACGUAGGGUGCGAGCGUUAAUCGGAAUUACUGGGCGUAAAGCGUGCGCAGGCGGUUAUAUAAGACAGAGGUGAAAUCCCCGGGCUCAACCUGGGAACUGCCUUUGUGACUGCAUGGCUAGAGUACGGUAGAGGGGGAUGGAAUUCCGCGUGUAGCAGUGAAAUGCGUAGAUAUGCGGAGGAACACCGAUGGCGAAGGCAAUCCCCUGGACCUGUACUGACGCUCAUGCACGAAAGCGUGGGGAGCAAACA